rnacentral:rRNA from 1 species
GAUGAACGCUAGCGGCAGGCCUAAUACAUGCAAGUCGAGGGGCAGCGCAGUGUAGCAAUACAUGGGCGGCGACCGGCAAACGGGUGCGGAACACGUACGCAACCUUCCUUCAAGUGGGGGAUAGCCCAGAGAAAUUUGGAUUAAUACCCCGUAAGAUGGUGGUGAGGCAUCACACAGCCAUUAAAGCUGAGGAGCUUGAAGAUGGGCGUGCGUCUGAUUAGGUAGUUGGUGAGGUAACGGCUCACCAAGCCGACGAUCAGUAACUGGCGUGAGAGCGCGACCAGUCACACGGGCACUGAGACACGGGCCCGACUCCUACGGGAGGCAGCAGUAAGGGAUAUUGGUCAAUGGACGCAAGUCUGAACCAGCCAUGCCGCGUGAAGGAUGAAGGUCCUCUGGAUUGUAAACUUCUUUUAUGUGGGAAGAAACCACUCUUUUCUAAGGGUGUUGACGGUACCAUAGGAAUAAGCACCGGCUAACUCCGUGCCAGCCGCCGCGGUAACAC